rnacentral:lncRNA from 1 species
CCCACCAACACACCUGACUAAUUUUUUGUAUUUUUAGUACAGACGGGGUUUCACCGUGUUAGCCAGGAUGGUCUUGAUCUCCUGACCUCGUGAUCCACCCGCCUCAGCCUCCCAAAGUGUUGGGAUUACAGGUGUGAGCCACCGCACCCGGCUACCUGUCUCCUCAUUCUUAAAAGGUUAGGCUGAGCACUCUCUACAGGCCUGGUCAGCGCGGACAAGGCCAUCCCCGGCUGCCACAGAGCGCUGUCACCCACUUGGAAACCCCACUCACCAGCCACCAACCGGUCACACCAACCAGGACCUUCAGACAGGAUGAAUGGUGGGGCCCAGCAAUGGGACUACUGAGAAAGCAGGACUUGACGCUCAUAUGCUCAAAUGAAACGCAGGACUUCCCAGCCCAGCCCCUCACUGGAGAACACUGCCGAAUCCCAACUCCGGCAGCAGGGCGGUGCCUGUGUCACGAGGACAGGCUCGCGUCUUCAGCCCUGGUGGCAGGAAGCAGUGUUUCUUCCGCACAGCCCUUGCUCCUGCUAGGAAGUGGCACAUCUUCCUGCUCAGGUCACCAGGGUGGUUCAGAAAUGGCAAGGACGAGCGACAGCAAAAGGCCGCAGUCCUCACAGGCAAGAAGGGAUAAAUAAAUAUGAGGUGACCCGUGGCAGCUCUCGCCUGAGCUGGUGUGCCACAACCCUGACCCAACCCUUAAAAAAGAAGAUCAAAAAGCAACAUCCUAAGGAGAAUACGGCCCUACUCUACACGGCCCUUCUGAGAUGAUUAGCAUACAGCAGGUGAUGCAGGCUGCACACUCAGCAGAUUAAGCAGCUGAAAACAGCGAGUGGGUUUCUUCAAAUGAAAGGAAAGAAUUCAGUCCAACUGCAGGAGUGGUAGGAGAGGUUCUAGAUCCCUGGAACCUCAUCACCAGACCUCGGCCCUUUUAGCCAAGUGAUC